rnacentral:rRNA from 1 species
CGGGGGGGGCAAGCGUUGUUCGGAAUUACUGGGCGUAAAGGGCUCGUAGGUGGCCAACUAAGUCAGACGUGAAAUCCCUCAGCUUAACUGGGGAACUGCGUCUGAUACUGGAUGGCUUGAGUUUGGGAGAGGGAUGCGGAAUUCCAGGUGUAGCGGUGAAAUGCGUAGAUAUCUGGAGGAACACCGGUGGCGAAGGCGGCAUCCUGGACCAACACUGACACUGAGGAGCGAAAGCCAGGGGAGCAAACGGGAUUAGAUACCCCGGUAGUCCUGGCCCUAAACGAUGAAUGCUUGGUGUGGCGGGUAUCGAUCCCUGCCGUGCCGAAGCUAACGCAUUAAGCAUUCCGCCUGGGGAUACGGUCGCAAGGCUG